GACGGAGGAUGCAAGUGUUAUCCGGAAUCACUGGGCGUAAAGCGUCUGUAGGUGGUCCAAUAAGUCAACUGUUAAAUCUUGGGGCUCAACCUCAAAAUCGCAGUCGAAACUAUUAGACUAGAGUAUAGUAGAGGUAAAGGGAAUUUCCAGUGGAGCGGUGAAAUGCGUAGAUAUUGGAAAGAACACCGAUGGCGAAGGCACUUUACUGGGCUAUUACUAACACUCAGAGACGAAAGCUAGGGUAGCAAAUGGG
rnacentral:rRNA from 1 species